AAUAUAACCUCGCGUGUGAUUGGAGGAGCCCGACAGGCUUCUCGCCUUCGUCCAAUCGCGUGCGAGGUCAUGGCCACGGCUCACACAGCAGUACAAGAGGACCAUUAAGCGAUGUUUGGUUUGGUGUUUGUAACUCUCCAAGAAGAGAAGACGGGUGCACAAUCCCAAGAUUGCGGAGGCUGUACGGCGUCUCUGAGGCACACUGCAGGCGCUUUGAACCAGAGCAAAGACUAACGUCGCCUCAUAACGAAGCCGUGACCUCCUAUUUGGUUGGGGCUAUUUUAGCAAGUCCACAUUUAACUGCUGAGAAUGACGACAUUGUUUCUGCCUGUAAGACGUAUUAUGAGUCGGUUCGCCGGAGCUUCAGAUACAAACAACCUGAACUCGCAUCGCGGGCGGAAAAUGCGAAAAGUUUAGCUCGGAGUCGAUCCAGAAGAAAAAGGUUGCUGGAAGCGAGACGAAGUGUGCUGGCUGAGGGUGAGAUGGACAUUUGAAAGUGCGCCACCAUAGAUCUCAUGUCUGAUGAAGACGGCAUUGUUGACGGGGUGUCUGGAUGGAUUUUACGGCCACCGCCCUCUCGCAGCCUGGAACUCUCCGAGCUCUGUGCCACGCUGCAAUUCAGAUUAGAGGCGAUACCAAAGUACAGGGGAACUCACCAUAUAUGCCUGCAAAAGCGACUUUUUACAACGUUUUUGAGUUUUCUUUUUCUUUUUUCAACACUUGAGAACUUUG